AAUGGGGGGAACCCUGAUGCAGCAACGCCGCGUGGAGGAUGACGCAUUUCGGUGUGUAAACUCCUUUUAUAUGUCAAGAAAAUGACGGUAGCAUAUGAAUAAGCACCGGCUAACUCCGUGCCAGCAGCCGCGGUAAUACGGAGGGUGCAAGCGUUACUCGGAAUCACUGGGCGUAAAGGACGCGUAGGCUGUUUAGCAAGUCAGAUGUGAAAUCCAAUGGCUCAACCAUUGAACUGCAUUUGAAACUGCUAGACUAGAGUAUGGGAGGGGGAGAUGGAAUUAGUGGUGUAGGGGUAAAAUCCGUAGAUAUCACUAGGAAUACCUAAAGCGAAGGCGAUCUCCUGGAACAUUACUGACGCUAAGGCGUGAAAGCGUGGGGAGCAAA
rnacentral:rRNA from 1 species